GGCGACAGAUCCUUGGCAAUGCGCGCUGGAAGCCGACUCUGCUCCUGAACAACACAGAAGUACAGACGCUCCACGGGAACGGCCGUCAAACCAGAUGACUGCCGUCACUCUGAUUCUUCUGGCUCACUCUUAGACUGACAUUCACAGCAGAAAGGCUCAGGUCAGAGAGGUUUGGGGGAAAAGGCUUCUCCACUUCUUCAAAACGUUCAAAUCAACACCAGCUUUGUUGUGGGCUUCUUCUAACCCGCUGAUAGUGACAAAGCUGGUCGCUCGGUGGACAGGAGUUGUGGGCACAGCGUAAUGGAAAAGCAGAACGAAGCUCGGACAGCCGCCCCAGACAGCGACGGAGCUCGGGCUCCCCGAGGACAGGGUUUUUCCACAAGAUGGCGUCUUUGUCAGAAAGGACAGUCAGGGGUCGGCUGUUGGCUUUGCACCGCCUGCAUGAGGGAGGCUUCUGUGUACCAGGAAUCAAAAUGACAACGAAAGGAGAAUGUGCUGUCACAAUAUUACUCAAAAAUAUUUACUGGGUUGUUUCUGAAGACAAAUAAAUUAAAACUAUAACAUAAAUACACCAGAAACCUGUGUUUAUUUGUGCAACAAAUAAUAGACGCUUUUGUGCAACGUUGCUAAAAUCAGUAAAACUGUCUUUGACAAGCAUUGAACCAGUCUUGAUAAGCGUGCACCCUAU